CAGACCGGAGCGGGCUGGGGAAUUAGAGACUCGGGUUUGGUGGUCAACAUGGUCUUGUAGUGCAUGCAUUAUCUAUCCUGGAGUACAACUGGUGAAGCGAACAGGUUGUUCAAAGGAAAUCAAAGAGUAAAAACAGUGAAAAUCUUACCCACCUGCAAGCAUUGUCUCUGUCUGUGUGGGUGGGAAUGGCUCUGACGGACACUGUCAUUCCACAGCUGGAUGCACAUCACACAUGAGGGAGCCACUCAAAAGAGCUCAAGAGGAGUAACAAAGCUGUGGAUGACAAGUUGUGCAACAGUUUGGGGGGAAGAAAAGGGACUCAUUUUGUAUAGUGUGUUUAUGCAGAUUUUUUGUUCUGUUUCACUAUUUCCAUGUAAAAAAAAAAAA